rnacentral:rRNA from 1 species
GACGAACGCUGGCGGCAGGCCUAACACAUGCAAGUCGAGCGAGCGGCGGACGGGUGAGUAAUGUAUGGGGACCUGCCUGAUAGAGGGGGAUAACUACUGGAAAAGGUAGCUAAUACCGCAUACCACACGCUGAUCCCAUAUGGGAUUCGCGAGUAGGUGGGGUAAUGGCUCACCUAGGCGACGAGCCCUAGCUGGUCUGAGAGGAUGACCAGCCAAACUGGGACUGAGACACGGUCCAGACUCCGACGGGAGGCAGCAGUGGGGAAUAUUGCACAAUGGGCGCAAGCCUGAUGCAGCCAGGCCGCGUGUAUGAAGAAGGCCUUAGGGUUGUAAAGUACUUUCAGUGAGGAGGCGUUACCGACAGAAGAAGCACCGGCUAACUCCGUGCCAGCGGCCGCGGUAAUUC